CCACGUACUGCGGAAGAAACGGGGGAGGGUUAGAAAGGUCAGCUCAGCACAAGAGGGAGAAACAUGGCCCGUACUCAGGAAGGAUUUACUGAGCACCUACUACGGGCAAAGCAAUGCGGGGCCAACAGGACAGGCCUUCAAAAAUAAAGAUGUCCAAAGGGACUUCUUACCACUUAAUGAACCACUUUCCUACACAUUUUCCAAUAGAAUAGGGGUUGCCAAACUAUGGCCACAGGCCAUAAAUUGAGCCUGGCACCUGUUUUUCUAAAUAAAGUUUUCCUGGAACGCAGCCAUACCCACCCCAUUCUGCACUGUUCCGCUUUCAUGCAACAAUGAGAGGUGAGUGUUCACGACAGAUGGCAUGACCCACAAAACCUAAACAAAACCUGUAUCUCUAGCCCUUGAUGCAAAAUGCCUGCUGACCCUGCAAUGGGCCAUAAGCUCCCCAAAGGGUGUAGCCUAUCUUGCCGAUCCUGGUUUGGCCACUUGCAGGUCACUGGUUUUUGAAGCUCAACAGACCCAGUUCUAAAUCUCUACUCUCCAACUGUAUGGCCUUGGAAAUGUUUUUGACUUCUCUGGAUUUUAAUUUCCUCAGUGAAAGGGAGAUAAUGACAUUCACCCUGCAGCAUCACUACGAUUUGCGCACAAGCACAGGCACGCGCACACACACACACACAUAAACAGCGCAUGCAGAGACUUAAGUGCCGAUGGAAACACUAACAAUAACAGGUGUGGCACAUCGUCUCACUGACCCCCAAAACAGUCCUAUGAGAAGCAAAGUGACUCUCUAGGGUUUCAGGACUCAAGAAGGAUGGUGUGAGGAUGCAAACCCAGGUCUCCUCGUUGAACACCACACUUUUCUCACUAGAACCUGCCAUCUAUCCUUAAAGAGCUAAUAUGCACUUAAGUGACAAAAGUGACACACAUGUAAUAGGCGAGGAAUGACUUCCAGCGACGGAUGUGUCAAGGAGCACCCCCAAAACAAGGUACUGGACUAGCUGCAGCAGAGUUAUGGCCAGAGAGGAGCUGACUGGAAGCACGAGGUGGGGAAGGGUUGGUGGAAGAGGGGCAGUGAGGGCCUCUGAGGAGCAGCCUGGACAGCAUAGAGGAGUCCUGGCAGGUAAUAAUGGAACUCACAGCAAAAAUGAGAGGUGGCCAGGAUGACACCUGACUGAGCUGUCUGGAUUUUAACCAGUUGACAAACAAAAGCCCCUGACUAUCUCUGAGAGGGAGGGGCAACCUGACAAAGCGGUGCUCUGGAGACCCCCCUAAAGUUAGGCUGUCAUCCACCCAGAGACAGGGAUGGUGUGCCCACAGGCGUGAGGCACUGUGAAGAGCAGGCUGCAGGAGCCGGGCCUGGCCGAGGGACGAGGGGACUGUCCUGAAGCCCGUGCUGCAAUCAGGAACUCUGAAGGGCAGGUGUGUAGAUGAAAGGAAGGCCAUCUAGCCACUCAGUGAUGCCAUACUCCAGGCUAUGGCACGAGCAAGGGUUAAGAUGCUGAUCACACACAGCAAGUUAACAUCUCCUGGGCCCCUGAGCCCCUGGGCGCAAAGGAACAACCCCAGGUAUCCAUCUGAGCCUUUGUGAAGUGUGUAUUUAUGACAGGCUCUGGGGACAGAAGUCCUCACCCACUUAGUCUUCUGCAGCAGACUCAGCCCACUAGAAGCUGCCAGGAGGUAGAGAGGUACCUAGACAGAACUGACUGCCACAGGUCCUGACCCAAACAUCAGCUCAUCGACUCAACACACUACACAGGCCUGAGUGUGGACGGAGCUGCCCAGAGACCCACAGCUCUACAAGGAGAGCGAUAAUACCCAGGGGAUCAUCCUCAAACUCUGAACCUCUGUGAAGGACACAGCACAUCACCCAGGUAGAGCUGGCACCGUGGAGCCUCCAGAUCCAGCACACUAGAUCUCCUCCGGAGCAGUGAGGCUCAAGAUCAUUCUGCCAGGCACAUUGCAGACGUGCAACAAACAUGUGCUGAAUAAAGGAAUGAACAGAGGAAGGAAGGACAUUUUGGUUCCUUGGUGUGAGCAGUAGAUGCCCAGUGCCUGAGCGUCCUAAUUUUCCUUGGGAAACCAUCCUCUCUCAUCCUCAGCCUGGUGAUGAAGACAAUCAGGUGAUGAAGUCAGUCAACAAAGCACCUCCCUCGGCCACAGGGUUUGGGGUGGGGACAGGCAGGGAACCCCAUUCAGAGCCAAGUGGGCACCCUCUCAUCCUCCACUGGAUUGGAUAUUGCAAGAACAUGGGACUGAAUCUGCUGCAGCCACUGUUAGGGAGACAACAGUGAGCUGAUCCAGACAGGGCAGAGCUGAGAGGUGGACUCCUUCUGAGGCCUAAACCAUGCUGCCCUUGAGUAAGCCCUGCCUGUGGCUGUGAGUUAUAUGACCCAAAAAACGCCCUUUUCACUUACUCUGGUUUGGGUUGUGUUUCCUGUUCCUUAUAAUUAAAGCAACCCUUAGAAUUCC